rnacentral:tRNA from 1 species
UGAGACGUAGCUCAGUCGGGGGAGCGAUAUGACUAUAGAGGGUCUGAAACGUACGCAAGUUCGAAUCUUGCCGUCUCAA